rnacentral:rRNA from 1 species
UACGUAGGGGGCGAGCGUUGUCCGGAUUUAUUGGGCGUAAAGAGCGUGUAGGCGGCCAGGUAGGUCCGUUGUGAAAACUCGAGGCUCAACCUCGAGACGUCGGCGGAAACCCUCUGGCUAGAGUCCGGAAGAGGAGAGUGGAAUUCCUGGUGUAGCGGUGAAAUGCGCAGAUAUCCGGAAGAACACCCGUGGCGAAGGCGGCUCUCUGGGACGGUACUGACGCUGAGACGCGAAAGCGUGGGGAGCAAACAGG